rnacentral:rRNA from 1 species
UACGGUAGGGGCUAGCGUUGUCCGGAAUCAUUGGGCGUAAAGAGCGUGUGAGGCGGCCCGGUAAGUCCGCUGUGAAAGUCCAAAGGCUCAACCUUUGAAUGUCAGCGGAUACUGCCGGGCUAGAGUCCGGAAGAGGCGAGUGGAACUCCUGGUGUAGCGGUGGAAUGCGCAGAUAUCAGGAAGAACACCAACGGCGAAGGCAGCUCGCUGGGACGGUACUGACGCUGAGAACGCGGAAAGCGUGGGGAGCGAACAGG